GUUUUUGGCGCGCCAAAAGUCGGCGAUUUCUCAUUCCAUAAAACAUAAACAAGAAACUUUUUCAACUCAUAGAACAAAAAUAGCGCUGGAUUAAGUGAAUAUAUACCUACAAUCCAUAGAAAAUAAACCUGGAAAAUGGAAAUACAUACUAUCGUUUACUAACAAUGAAGAAGGUUCAACACCUGCACACUCCACUCCCGUAUGACUCGCCAGCGGCCUUUGCCUUCCCCUGACAGGACAGAGCCGCUUCUCAACACAGGUGUGAUGUUCGACAGACAAUUUCCCAGGCUUUUUUUCUCCACCCUCCUUUUUUACCUUCAUUCUCUCGGGUCCCAGGGAGCGCCGCCCCUGUGAGAUGGAGCCAGCUUUUUCUCCGGCUGUCCUGGUUUCUGGUUCUCCAGGGCCAGGGCCUAUAUUCGGCUGCCAUCGGUGUGGGGCUGAGGUUUCUCUCAGAUUCUUUGGUUUAAUCAACAGUCAGCAGGCUGAUAAAACAGAAAAAUUCAUAGUGGAAAUCCAGCUUUAGUUGCCGUCUUGUAGUGAUGGACUGAUAUGUUUUUUCAAUGGCUGAUGCCAGUAUCUAGAGCACAUGGUGGCCCAUUGCUGAUAUACUACCAAUGUAUGAAAGCAUUUGUUAC